rnacentral:rRNA from 1 species
UACGGGGGGAGCAAGCGUUGUUCGGAUUUACUGGGCGUAAAGGGCGCGUAGGCGGCCACUGCAAGUCGGUUGUGAAAUCUCCGGGCUUAACCCGGAAAGGUCAACCGAUACUGCAGGGCUAGAGUGCAGAAGGGGCAACUGGAAUUCCUGGUGUAGCGGUGGAAUGCGCAGAUAUCAGGAGGAACACCGGUGGCGAAGGCGGGAUCCUGGGCCAGUACUGACGCUGAGGAGCGAAAGCGUGGGGAGCAAACAGG